CCUACGGGCGGCUGCAGUGAGGAAUAUUGGUCAAUGGUCGCGAGACUGAACCAGCCAAGCCGCGUGAAGGAUGAAGGUACAGAGUAUCGUAAACCGCUUUUGUCAGGGGACAAACUCAGGGACGUGUCCCCUGUUGAAGGUACCUGAAGAAAAAGCAUCGGCUAAAUCCGUGCCAGCAGCCGCGGUAAUACGGAGGAUGCGAGCGUUAUCCGGAUUUAUUGGGUUUAAAGGGUGCGCAGGCCGUCCUUUAAGUGUGCGGUCAAAUGCCGGGGCUCAACCCCGGCACGGCAGUGAGAACUGGCAGGCUCGAGUUGGCGAGAGGUAUGCGGAAUGCGUGGUGUAGCGGUGAAAUGCAUAGAUAUCGCGAAGAACUCCGAUUGCGAAGGCAGCAUGCCGUAUCCAUACUGACGCUGAGGCACGAAGGCGCGGGUAUCGAACAGGAUUAGAUACCCGAGUAGUC
rnacentral:rRNA from 1 species